rnacentral:rRNA from 1 species
AUUGAACGCUGGCGGCAUGCCUUACACAUGCAAGUCGAACGGCAGCACGGGAGCAAUCCUGGUGGCGAGUGGCGAACGGGUGAGUAAUAUAUCGGAACGUGCCCAGUCGUGGGGGAUAACGUAGCGAAAGCUACGCUAAUACCGCAUACGAUCUACGGAUGAAAGGCGGGGGAUCGCAAGACCUCGCGCGAUUGGAGCGGCCGAUAUCAGAUUAGGUAGUUGGUGAGGUAAAGGCUCACCAAGCCGACGAUCUGUAGCUGGUCUGAGAGGACGACCAGCCACACUGGGACUGAGACACGGCCCAGACUCCUACGGGAGGCAGCAGUGGGAAUUUUGGACAAUGGGCGCAAGCCUGAUCCAGCAAUGCCGCGUGCAGGAUGAAGGCCU